CCCGCCACUAUGCCUGUCUGUCCCCGUGACUGAGUAUAAUCCAGUGGAGGCUCAGAGUGACCCGGCUUUAGGAAACAGAGCUGUUCUCACUGAUGGUGGACCGCUCUGUGCCGAAAAGUCUGGAACAAAC